GAUGAACGCUGGCGGCGUGCCUAAUACAUGCAAGUCGAGCGAACGGACGAGAAGCUUGCUUCUCUGAUGUUAGCGGCGGACGGGUGAGUAACACGUGGAUAACCUACCUAUAAGACUGGGAUAACUUCGGGAAACCGUAGCUAAUACCGGAUAAUAUUUUGAACCGCAUGGUUCAAAAGUGAAAGACGGUCUUGCUGUCACUUAUAGAUGGAUCCGCGCUGCAUUAGCUAGUUGGUAAGGUAACGGCUUACCAAGGCAACGAUGCAUAGCCGACCUGAGAGGGUGAUCGGCCCCACUGGACCUGAGACCCGGUCCGGACUCCUACGGGAGGCAGCAGUAGGGAAUCUUCCGCAAUGGGCGAAAGCCUGACGGAGCAACGCCGCGUGAGUGAUGAAGGUCUUCGGUUCGUAAAACUCUGUUAUUAGGGAAGAACAUAUGUGUAAGUAACUGUGCACAUCUUGACGGUACCUAAUCAGAAAGCCCCGGCUACCUACGU
rnacentral:rRNA from 1 species